rnacentral:rRNA from 1 species
AGAGUUUGAUCCUGGCUCAGGAUGAACGCUAGCGACAGGCUUAACACAUGCAAGUCGAGGGGCAGCGGUGGUGAAGGCUUGCCUUUACCAGCCGGCGACCGGCGCACGGGUGAGUAACACGUAUGCAACCUGCCUGCCACAGCCGGAUAAUCGGGAGAAAUUCCGUCUAAUACGGCAUAAUGCAUCGACGGGACAUCCUGUUGGUGCCAAAGGUUGAUUCCGGUGGCGGAUGGGCAUGCGUCGCAUUAGUUAGUUGGCGGUGUAACGGACCACCAAGACGACGAUGCGUAGGGGUUCUGAGAGGAAGGUCCCCCACACUGGUACUGAGACACGGACCAGACUCCUACGGGAGGCAGCAGUGAGGAAUAUUGGUCAAUGGGCGGGAGCCUGAACCAGCCAAGUCGCGUGAGGGAUGACGGCCCUAUGGGUUGUAAACCUCUUUUGCCGGGGAGCAAAGUGCCGCACGUGUGCGGUUUGGAGAGUACCCGGAGAAAAAGCAUCGGCUAACUCCGUGCCAGCAGCCGCGGUAAUACGGAGGAUGCGAGCGUUAUCCGGAUUUAUUGGGUUUAAAGGGUGCGUAGGCGGACGCUUAAGUCAGCGGUAAAAUUGCGGGGCUCAACCUCGUCGAGCCGUUGAAACUGGGUGCCUUGAGUGGGCGAGAAGUACGCGGAAUGCGUGGUGUAGCGGUGAAAUGCAUAGAUAUCACGCAGAACUCCGAUUGCGAAGGCAGCGUACCGGCGCCCAACUGACGCUGAAGCACGAAGGCGUGGGUAUCGAACAGGAUUAGAUACCCUGGUAGUCCACGCAGUAAACGAUGAAUGCUAGUUGUCCGGGGCGAUUGAGUUCUGGGUGACACAGCGAAAGCGUUAAGCAUUCCACCUGGGGAGUACGCCGGCAACGGUGAAACUCAAAGGAAUUGACGGGGGCCCGCACAAGCGGAGGAACAUGUGGUUUAAUUCGAUGAUACGCGAGGAACCUUACCCGGGCUCAAACGCAGGAGGGAUGUUUUUGAAAGGAGGCAGCCAGCAAUGGUCUCCUGCGAGGUGCUGCAUGGUUGUCGUCAGCUCGUGCCGUGAGGUGUCGGCUUAAGUGCCAUAACGAGCGCAACCCCUACCUACAGUUGCCAUCGCGUGAUGGCGGGCACUCUGUGGGGACUGCCUGCGCAAGCAGUGAGGAAGGCGGGGAUGACGUCAAAUCAGCACGGCCCUUACGUCCGGGGCGACACACGUGUUACAAUGGCAGGUACAGCGGGAAGCCACCCGGCGACGGGGCGCGGAACCCGAAAACCUGUCUCAGUUCGGAUUGGAGUCUGCAACCCGACUCCAUGAAGCUGGAUUCGCUAGUAAUCGCGCAUCAGCCACGGCGCGGUGAAUACGUUCCCGGGCCUUGCACUCACCGCCCGUCAAG